rnacentral:rRNA from 1 species
AACGAACGCUGGCGGCAGGCCUAACACAUGCAAGUCGAGCGGGGGAGCAAUCCCUAGCGGCGGACGGGUUAGUAACGCGUGGGAACAUACCCUUUGGUACGGAAUAGCCUCGGGAAACUGAGAGUAAUACCGUAUGUGCCCUUCGGGGGAAAGAUUUAUCGCCAAAGGAUUGGCCCGCGUUGGAUUAGGUAGUUGGUGGGGUAAUGGCCUACCAAGCCUACUAUCCAUAGCUGGUUUGAGAGGAUGAUCAGCAACACUGGGACUGAGACACGGCCCAGACUCCUACGGGAGGCAGCAGUGGGGAGUAUUGGACAAUGGGGGCAACCCUGAUCCAGCAAUGCCGCGUGGGUGAUGAAGGCCUCGGUUGUAAGCCUUCGGCGGGGACGAUGAUGACGGUACCCGCAGAAGAAGCCCGGCUAACUCGUGCCAGCAGCCGCGGUAA